ensembl:processed_transcript
CCCGCGCUGAUGUUGAGGUCUUCAAACUGGAUGUUUUGCAGACAUCAAGCUAGACGCUGGCGUGAACCUUCACCAAGAGCUGAUCCUUCACUCCUCUCCCUGGAGCAGUUGUUGAAGACCGAGAAUCUGGCUGAGGCAAAGGUGUCAGAGGAGGACAAGCUGAAAGUGGUGAUGUACCAGUCCAGCCUGUGCUACUACUCCAGGAGGGCAGCGGCUCCGCUCCGCACAAGCGCAUCCGGAAGAGCACAGGGAUUCCCCGCAGCUUCCUGUUGGAGGUGGACGACCCAGACCGAAAGGGAGUCAUAA